GACUGCGUAGCUCAGUUGGCAGAGCAUUGGGCUAGUAUUCCAAAGGUUGUAGGUUUGAUUCCCACCGUGGCCG